rnacentral:rRNA from 1 species
UACGGGGGGAGCAAGCGUUGUUCGGAUUUACUGGGCGUAAAGCGCACGUAGGCGGCUUUGUAAGUUAGAGGUGAAAGCCCGGGGCUCAACCCCGGAAUUGCCUUUAAGACUGCAUCGCUUGAAUCCGGGAGAGGUGAGUGGAAUUCCGAGUGUAGAGGUGAAAUUCGUAGAUAUUCGGAAGAACACCAGUGGCGAAGGCGGCUCACUGGACCGGUAUUGACGCUGAGGUGCGAAAGCGUGGGGAGCAAACAGG